AUGCAAGAAUCUCUAACAUAUGACUUCUUGUUUAUCUCAGCUAUUGGAACAGUUUCCUCCAUCUCUGUGGAGUACAACUGUCUUACUUCUACGGAAACGAUUAGUUGGGAUGCGGUUUUUGGUGCCACGUCGUACCGCGCCGUCAUUACAGAUGGUCAAGGCCGGUCGCUCAAUUGCUCUUCAACGGACACCUCCUGCCAGAUCUCGAAUCUGGUCUGUGGAGAACGGUACACUGUGCGGAUUACAGCCAUCGCUAACUGUGAAAGCACUUCCAACGGCAGCUACUUCUUCGAGACAGCACCAUGCCCACCCAAAGCGCCAAAAGUGUACCGCGAGUGCUCCACUAAUGUCAUCUUGUUCUCAUGGGAGCCCACCAACAACACAGCUUAUUACUUCG
rnacentral:lncRNA from 1 species